rnacentral:rRNA from 1 species
UACGUAGGCAGCAAGCGUUGUUCGGAGUUACUGGGCGUAAAGAGUGCGUAGGUGGUGCCCUAAGUCUGUUGUGAAAUCUCCCGGCUUAACUGGGAGGGUGCGGUGGAAACUGGGGUGCUUGAGUGUGGGAGAGGUAAGCGGAAUUCCUGGUGUAGCGGUGAAAUGCGUAGAUAUCAGGAGGAACACCGGUGGUGGAGACGGCUUACUGGACCACGACUGACACUGAGGCACGAAAGCGUGGGUAGCAAACAGG